GCCCGGCUAGUUCAACGGCAGAACGCGCCCUUCGUACGGCCGAGAUUGGGGUUCAAUUCCUCAGCCGGGCUCCA
rnacentral:tRNA from 1 species